UCCGCGCGUCCGUCAGUCGGUCCGCGCCCCGCGCGCUCGCACCUUCCCUCCUGCUCCCGGUGGGCGGCAGCCUCUCAACUUUGGCGAGUUUCGAGGCGGCGGCGCGGCAUCCCCGGCUCUGCGGCGCUCGGCGGCUGCAGAGGAAUGAACAAGACAGAAGAUAGAGUCUCCGCCCAGAAUCACGUGCGCUUGCUUCACUGCUAGCAGAUGGAAUUCUUUAGGCCUUUUGUACAAAGAACUUCAGCCUGAUUCUAUUUUUAAAAUGAGAUGAGGGAAAUAAUAAGAGCCAAGCUAUCCCCUACUUGAGAAGGCAAAUGAAGAGAAAGAAAGCAACAUGCUGUACCCGAGCGAAAUGUGAGUGAGCACAGUUGGGAAAGAAACCAAAUAUUCAUGCCGUUACGCUUUGCGUGGACAAGCACAUCAGAACUCAAAAAAGGCUGGCUCUUUCAUUUAACGCUUUAACAUCUUUCAAAAAUUCUGAGUCUUCCAAAUUUGAAGGGAUACCACUGACAGAGUUUUAGUUCACUUUGAGCAUCUCACUUCACUGUGAGCCAACAGCAAUGGCGUCUUUUAACUUAAAGGAUACAGGUGUAGUCAAGGAAGUUCUGACCACCAGAGAUGCAUGCUACAGAAAGGCUGUUGUGCUUAGGGCUGCUGGAUUCCUCUCAGAGCUGCUGGAAUACUAAAUGUGUCUAUGACUUUUUGUUUUUUUUAAACCGGUAGCCUUGAAUGACGCCUUCAGAUUCUCUGUAACUCAACUUUCAUCAAUAAAAUGAAAAUGAUGCCUUUCUGCCCCUUAAAUGAAUUGUUUUGCUCAUUAAGAGAACUCACUGUAAGGCAACUGUAGAACCUUCCACUUAGCUUAGUAGCUGAGAACCAAGAUGUCUGUGGAUCGCUGUCAGUGAUGUCUCAGUGUCUCUCUGGUCUCUGCCUUGUGCAGAUACUUUAGUGAUCAUAACAAAAUUGAAUGUAAAACUUUCCAUGAGCUGCAUACAAUAAUAGCUUUGAUCUCACUUUAUUUCUUGACUCAAUAAUUAAUAGCCCAUUUUGAUUCAAUGUGCCCAUUUGUGUUUUUUGGUCCAGUUCAGUGUACAUCUUCAAAUAAAACAAUGAACAAAAUUGGAAUCCUCUAGAGACCCAAAGCAAUCCUUAACACAAAUGAUAUGUGUUAUGGGAAAUAAAAUGGGAAAGUAUUAUAAAGUAAAUCUUUGAGUUGAGGAGACAGCUGAGUGGGUAAGAGGGCUUGCUCUGAGAACAGGGUACCUGAAUCCAAACACCCAGGAUCCACACAAAAGCCAGGCAUGGCUGCAGGUAUCUAUAACCCCAGCAUUGUGGAGGGUGCAGAGACAGAGGGGUCCCUGGAGCUCACUGGCCAACCAGAAUAGCUGAAAUGGCGAGCUUCAGCAUCAGCAAGAGAUCCUGUCUCAAAAAUAAGGUAGGGAAUAAUGGAGGGCUCCUCUGGUCUCCAAAUGCAUGUGUUUUUGUACGCACACACACGCACGCACACACAGACAGAAACAGAGAAAGAGAGCUGCAUUUAAAAAAUGAAGAUCUAGAAGAUCCAUUUCCUUACAGGAGAGUUUGUAGUGUGUUCCUAAAUAGGAAGAGCUCCCAUCCCUCCUUUUUCGGUCGAUCCCCAACAGAAGGAACAGUUUUAAGGCUUACAGUCUUUAGAGUCUGUGGAAUCUCCAAGCCCAGUGUCUCCAGAGGUGUUUACAUUGACUCUGGAGAGCUCCGAAGCACUUCAGAGGGUUGAAACUUGAUUUAAAGACAUUUGACCUUGACACUGAAGGGGACAUUAUGAUUUAAGUGCAGAUGGUCCCUUUUGGUGGAAUUGCCUGUAAGUUAUUUCAGUGAUUUAAGAAAAUGGCCUCAUUCUGGAGCUUGGCAUAACGUAGAAGUUCAAGGCUCUACAAUACGCCUGGUAAAAGAGCAAGAGACAGACGGACUUCAGUCAGACAGAAAGAUACUCGGGGCUCCGGGAUCCCGGUGGCUGCUUCCCCAGGAGAUCUUGCUCUCUGGCAUCUCUUUGUCCUUCAGGUCAUGUCUGCUCCUGUUGCCUAUUACCAUUCAUCUCCCCGUAGACUCUAAUCCUUGGAGAACAAGUAGAAUUUGGACAUGUGUAGACAGGAAAUCUGACUUUGGCCCUGCCUUGCCCUGAACUUUUGACUUCCUAACAACUCCUGCCCCCCAGUGUUAGAUCAAUUACUACUCUCUCAGAGCACUUGGUGUUCCGAGAUUUGAAGAUUGCUCUAGGCGGCGUCAGGCACAGAAUUUUAAGAAGAGCAUCUAAACUCGUAUGCUGCUUCCUUGUGCACAGUGCUUUGAGCAGAUUUAGUGAGAGAGUGACCGAAAACAGUAUCUAGCGAAAAAGAAAGAAAAGGAAAUGUUCAGUUUGUGACUGUUUUCUGCAGAACGGUCUGCCCAGGUUUAAGACCUCCUUGUGUUGGCUGCUGCACACUAGCUAGGGAUCUCGCCAUUGACUGGUCCAGGGUUUUAACGAUGGACGGACGCUUUCCGAAAGCAGCAUUACUCCCCUCUGCCACUCAUCUCCGUAGAAGCUAGUGUCUUUCAGCAUUGUUCAAUAUGAUUCAGCAAAACGUAGAUACUGAAACAAAUCCAAAACACAUUUUAAAGAAGUGCAGGAACUUAAAAUCCGUGUGGUUUUGGAAGCCUGAGAAUUCUUGACCUAUUUUUUUUUUUAAGUCUCUUAUGCCCCUAGCCCCUGAGGCUGCCAAGAAAUGUAUAUCAAAGUGUCAGGGACAGAAAAAUAUGUUGUCACGUUCACCCUUGCUUUGUGCGUUAGUAUCUGUACAUAAGCCCGCUGUCUGGAUUCCGUUGGUGACGCGGGAUGGCAUACCAUCUCCGUGUUGGCCCACAGAGAGAAAACGACCACAGUUGAAAUACUUAGCUUUGCUCUACAGCCAAGCUUUCCCUAUCUCAGAAGGAAGUGAGGGACAGAACAGAUUCUUCUCCAGCCAUGCUGGAUGUGUUGAAACAGAAAAAGGAAAUCUAUAAAGUUCGGAAACAGGGCAGCCCAUCAAGGGAGUGAACCUCCCUCUUUUUUAGUAGGCAAAAACCAAAACAGGAUGUUAGGUAAAGCGUACGUUUCCUGAAGUGGCCUCAAGCUGAGGUCGUUUACUAAGAUGGCCCUCGUACUCUCAGAUGACAGAACGCACGUCUCUCAGAGACUGUGCACAUUCACAGUGGUGCAUAGAGAAGACGGAUUGCCUCGGUAGCCCAGUGAUCACCCGGGCUGUGAUGGCAGCACACUGAGUCCCAGCUUUACUCUUUAGCAGAUAUAGAGCCUAGGUCUGUGACCUUCAGUCUUCCUAAGGCUGCGACCCUUUACUACAGUUCCUCCUUAUCUUUGUUGCUGCUUCAUAACUGUAAUUUUGCUGCUGUUAUGAAUCAUAAUGUAAAUAUCUGAUAUGCAAAUGGUUUUAGGUGAAAGGGGUUAGGACCCACGGGUUGAGAAUGUUGCUUAAUUUCCUCUCCAACGAGUGUCUAUUUAAGAUACAGAAAACAAGACAAUGAAAUAGGAAGUUUCCACUCUUACCGCCUUACAACUUCCAAAAAUUUGUAGGCAAGCAUGGUGACACACACCUUUAAUCCCAGCUCUCAGAAGGCAGAAGCAGGCAGAUCUCUGUGAAGUUUGGGGCCAUUCUUGACAACACUGAGAUCUACGCUGGCCAGAAUUAAAUAGUGAGACCCCAUGUUUAAAAAAAAAGUAUAAUAACAAUUAUAAACAUAUAUUCAUUUUGUAGAAUCUAGAUAGCUGAAACCAACAUUAGCAGAAUUGAAGGAAAACAUAGAAACCAUUUAUAGUAAUUGUUGGAUCCUUAAUAACCCCAUGGAACAAUUGUAGGUCCUAUAGAUAGAAAAUUAAUAAGGAAACUGCAAGCCGAGACUAGUGGUGUAAGUCUGUAAUCCCUGAUACACAGGAGGCUGAGGCAGGAGGGUCACGAGAUCAUGGCUCACAUGGACUACAAGAUCUGCCUGGGCUUAUUAGUGAGACUAUCUUGAAUGAAAAAAAAAAAAAAAAAAAAAAGAAAGAAAGCAAAAGAUUUGUAGAUAAGAUGGUAGCUGUUCCUGUGCCAACAACGAAAGAAUCAGGAUGAAAACAAUAAACUCUAUUCCUAUGUGAGAAGGAGCUGAAGAGGAAGGAAAUAAAUUAAUUGAGGUCUCCGCAGAGAAAAAGCCAAGAUACCUGAUGCUGGCACCCAGCUGGACCAGGACCAGGGUCUGCAGUGUCGUCAGAGUGGUACAUUCCGCAUCUGGACAUGAGCUCUUCAGGAAGAGUGAGCUAGAGAAAGACUGAUCUAGCUGCAGAGAUGCAGCCUGAGAUCUGGAAAUGCCAUAGGUGGGGAGACACAGGUAGAUGUGUGACCAGGGUGCUAGAAAGCUGAGAUGAGCUGUGCCUGUCAUUACCAUCCCUGUCAUUACCAAGCAAAACUGGCUUAUAUCUGUCUGUCUGUCUUUCUAUCUAUCUAUCUAUCUAUCUAUCUAUCUAGAUAUCUAGAUAUCUAAUUUGAUACCGGGUCUCAUUAUUUAGCCCUGGCUGUCCUGGAACUUACUGUGUAGACCAGGCUGUCCUUGAACUCACAGAGAUCUGCCCACCUCUUCCCCCUCAGUUCUAGGAGUAAAGACAUGUGCUACCACACCCAGCUUGCUGCUGUUCUUGGUGUAGUCUCCCUACUGGGAGAGCUUAGAAGAGAACACUCAACACAUAAAGGAAAACACAAGCAGGCAGGCCUUCCUCACCCUCUCAGAGUCUUAGUCAACCCAUGUACAUCCUUCAAAGAUCAGAGACAAAGUGUAACCAGCAGGCAACAAGAUCAGAAUGUGCGCAGAGAGUGAAAUUCCCACUCAAAAAUUCCUCAGUUGAAGAGGGCAUCAGAUCUCCUGUAACUAGAGGCGCAUGCGUUUGCAAGCCACUCUGUGGGUGCUGGGAAUUGAACCUGGGUCCUCUGGAAGAGCAGCCAGUGCUCUAGAUCAUUGAGAUAUCUUUCCAGCCCCUUGCAGUGAUUUUUAAAAGUAUAGUACCUAAGGCCAGGCAGUGGUAGUACACCCCUUUAAUACCAGCAGUUGGGAGGCAGAGGCAGAUGAACCUCUGAGUUCGAGUCCAGGGUGGUCUACAGAGCAAGUUGGGCCUGCACAGAAAGGGAGAAAAAGAAAGUGUAUAUAUGUACAACAAAACAAAAAUAAACAGUUGAAACCGUAUCAAACUAAUAUCUUCUUUAUAUCUAAAGAAACAACAAAAUGGGAAGGCAGCCUAGGGCAUGAGAAAAUACUGACAAAGUACAUAUAUGAUAAAGGAGUUAAUAUCCAAACAUCCAUGAAACUCAUAUAAUGCAACAGGCUUCUGUGUAGGAGCCAUGUUGGGGCUCCCAAGACCACUGCCACAUUCAGUGAUCCCUGGACUCGCUGAAUGCAGAAAAUCUGAAACACACACUUAUGGCUUAUUACAGUGAUGGGAGUCAGAGUCAAAUCGGCCGAGGCGAAAGUGCACAGGGCAGAGUCUAGGAGAAUCCAGGCACGAGGUUCUAGCUGUCCACAGGGAGUGUUAGUUAUGUAAGCAAGUGCUACUCCCCCAGCAGCAGAUAUUUGAACACAGGAAAAGUACAGUCAUCAGCUAGGGUGCUCUGAUGUCUAGAGCCGUUACUGAAGGUCAGUCGGGAAGAGCCGCUACAGCUGGCUGGCUGGCCUAACUGCUCACGCUCUGGGCCUCUUUAGAGCAAAGUGCUAUAUAGCCUGACUCAGGGUGUCCGCGAAUCAGUUGUGAGCUACUCUAAUCUGCUGCAUGAAGUGUCAGUUCAUUAGGAGAUUGUCUCCUGCAAG